rnacentral:rRNA from 1 species
GAUGAACGCUGGCGGCGUGCCUAAUACAUGCCAGUCGAGCGAACGGACGAGAAGCUUGCUCCUCUGAUGUUAGCGGCGGACGGGUGAGUAACACGUGGAUAACCUACCUAUAAGACUGGGAUAACUUCGGGAAACCGGAGCUAAUACCGGAUAAUAUUUUGAACCGCAUGGUUCAAAAGUGAAAGACGGUCUUGCUGUCACUUAUAGAUGGAUCCGCGCUGCAUUAGCUAGUUGGUAAGGUAACGGCUUACCAAGGCAACGAUGCGUAGCCGACCUGAGAGGGUGAUCGGCCACACUGGAACUGAGACACGGUCCAGACUCCUACGGGAGGCAGCAGUAGGGAAUCUUCCGCAAUGGGCGAAAGCCUGACGGAGCAACGCCGCGUGAGUGAUGAAGGUCUUCGGAUCGUAAAACUCUGUUAUUAGGGAAGAACAUAUGUGUAAGUAACUGUGCACGUCUUGACGGUACCUAAUCAGAAAGCCACGGCUAACUACGUG